GUCAGCUGACACAUUCCAGCCAAUCAGCAGCAGACCCUCCCUCCCAGAGCCUCCCAACUCCUGGACAGCAUCCAUUUUGAAGCUGCAUUCUUAGUGAGCUGUCCAGGAGGUGGGAGGGUCUGGGAGGGAGGGUCUGCUGCUGAUUGGCUGGAAUGUGUCUGCUG